UACGAAGGGGGCUAGCGUUGCUCGGAAUUACUGGGCGUAAAGCGCACGUAGGCGGAUUGUUAAGUCGGGGGUGAAAUCCUGGAGCUCAACUCCAGAACUGCCUUCGAUACUGGCGAUCUAGAGUCCGGGAGAGGUGAGUGGAACUGCGAGUGUAGAGGUGAAAUUCGUAGAUAUUCGCAAGAACACCAGUGGCGAAGGCGGCUCACUGGCCCGGUACUGACGCUGAGGCGCGAAAGCCAGGGGAGCAAACGGG
rnacentral:rRNA from 1 species